rnacentral:rRNA from 1 species
GACGAACGCUGGCGGCGUGCUUAACACAUGCAAGUCGAACGGAAAGGCCCUGCUUUUGUGGGGUGCUCGAGUGGCGAACGGGUGAGUAACACGUGAGUAACCUGCCCUUGACUUUGGGAUAACUUCAGGAAACUGGGGCUAAUACCGGAUAGGAGCUCCUGCUGCAUGGUGGGGGUUGGAAAGUUCCGGCGGUUGGGGAUGGACUCGCGGCUUAUCAGCUUGUUGGUGGGGUAGUGGCUUACCAAGGCUUUGACGGGUAGCCGGCCUGAGAGGGUGACCGGCCACAUUGGGACUGAGAUACGGACCAGACUCCUACGGGAGGCAGCAGUGGGGAAUAUUGCACAAUGGGCGGAAGCCUGAUGCAGCAACGCCGCGUGCGGGAUGACGGCCUUCGGGUUGUAAACCGCUUUCGCCUGUGACGAAGCGUGAGUGACGGUAAUGGGUAAAGAAGCACCGGCUAACUACGUG